rnacentral:rRNA from 1 species
UACGAAGGGGGCUAGCGUUGCUCGGAAUGACUGGGCGUAAAGGGCGCGUAGGCGGCUCAUACAGUCAGAUGUGAAAUUCCUGGGCUUAACCUGGGGGCUGCAUUUGAUACGUGUGGGUUUGAGUGGGGAAGAGGGUCGUGGAAUUCCCAGUGUAGAGGUGAAAUUCGUAGAUAUUGGGAAGAACACCGGUGGCGAAGGCGGCGACCUGGUCCUUGACUGACGCUGAGGCGCGAAAGCGUGGGGAGCAAACAGG